UAGUUUAUUCUGAGCCAUUCUGGGGUCAGGAGGUGCCUUUUAUAGCCUGCUGGGACGCAGUGCUGAAAGCACACCUGUCCACACCACAACUAACAGAGAUCUGUCUACGACGAGAUCUGUCUACAACAAGGACAUUCAUUUUUUUUGUCGUCCGCUAGAGUUGUCAUUGGGCAAUGCCGUGAACUUCCAGGAUCUCUUGUGUCGGUUGAGAAGGCAAUGACGCGCUAUGCACACUAUUUCUAAUGAAGAGAGUAGGCGCCAUAGAUAUGGUCAGGGCCAAGUAAGUCUCACUGAAGCAAUGAGCCCACGUUCAGAGCCACACAAGAGCCAGAGCUAUUACGUCAGUCACCAAAGCUGAAACACCAUCGUCAGAGCGAAUGCCAGAGCCGCCGAAGAGUAGAGCCAUUACGCCCAAAGAGCAUUGAGAGCCACACUGGUCAGAACCACAGCAGAAAUACCAGAGCCAGUACCAUUCCAAGCAACAGCCAGUAAGUCCUAUCAGGCUAUGCCGUAUGAGGGCAAACACCGAAGCCACAAGUUCUGAAAAGCCAUAAGAGCACGUCAUCAUUUAUGAGCAAUUAAGUCCAAAGAGCAAUAAGAGCCAUUCUCCUGGACAAGUGCCAAUGAGUCCACAGAUGCAGUGAGAGCUAAACGCCAGAGCGGAGCAGGCCAUAGAGCAGGCCAUAGAGCAGGCCAUAGAGCAGGCCAUAGAGCCGAGGCCAGCUAGUUGCCGACAAGAGCCAGAGCAUGAGCCGAGUCCCACUAUUCGAGAAGUAGGUGAAAAUCCCAACCUCUUGGGUCAAUAAAUCAUGAACCAAGAGUCCCACCC
rnacentral:misc_RNA from 1 species